GUGGUUGUUUGGGGAGCACAUACACUAAAAUUGGAAUGAUAUAGAGAAGAUUAGCAUGGCUUCUGUGCAAGGAGGACAUGUGAAUUUUUAAAGCAUUCAAUAUUUAU
ensembl:snRNA U6 U6 spliceosomal RNA